UUUCACGGUACAGUGGAUGCAGAACAUGAGAAAUACAUUGUGCAUUACGUAAUGGAAUGGGGAUUUUUAAAAACAUAUGAAUGGAUAUGUGGAUAGAAUACUGGAAUCAAAAGGCAAACAAGCGACGUCAUAACACUUUGUACAAUGCCAAAACUACACACGAAAAGGCGUAAAGUGAGUUGCUGGUUAAAGCUCAUACCAGAAUAUAUUAUCAGUGGAUUUCAUCUCCACGUCACAAAUAUUGCUCCAAUGUAACAGCAUAAGAAUCAAAUCCAGAAACAAUAUGAUUAUCAGGAACAUCCACACCAACGUUAUAUAACAGGACGAUGGAAAAAGGAAAAAAUGAAUAGAUGACAUGAUCUUGUUCUUCUUUGUUUUUCCACAAUUCAUCCACAAAUCUCAAUGCAUGCAUAUUCUGUGAUUAACACAUGUCUAAGGGAAAACUGUAUAGAGGGUUAUUUUAGCGGUGUAUUGCUUUUGGCGAUAUUUUCCAAUUGUCAAAAGGAAUAAAGCACCGACUUCAAGCCCAUUUUAUAUCUCUAUAUAGAAGUCAUAAAUAAAAUCGCCAAAUUUACAACAAUCA